rnacentral:rRNA from 1 species
UACGUAGGUGGCAAGCGUUGUCCGGAAUUAUUGGGCGUAAAGCGCGCGCAGGCGGUUUCUUAAGUCUGAUGUGAAAGCCCCCGGCUCAACCGGGGAGGGUCAUUGGAAACUGGGAAACUUGAGUGCAGAAGAGGAAAGUGGAAUUCCAAGUGUAGCGGUGAAAUGCGUAGAGAUUUGGAGGAACACCAGUGGCGAAGGCGGUUCUCUGGGACGGUACUGACGCUGAGACGCGAAAGCGUGGGGAGCGAACAGG